AUGGAUUUCAGCUCAAUAUUAAGAAAAACAUUCCGGUUGGUGAGCUUGUCAAGAGCAGGCACCCUUCCCCGGAUGGCAUGCACAAGGCACAUGCCAGUUAAUGGUGCAGCUAGACCUUGUGGAGGACCCUGUAAGGGGGACAAGCAGCAACAUAUCAAAGGCAGAUCAUGGCACCGGGCUUGGAGUCCUGCACCUCCCUUCCAGCUGCUACUCCAGAGAAGGUCCACUGUCAAGUCCAGCCAAGCCCAGACCCAGCCUUGGUUUAGGAAAUAAUCACUGAUACAACAUUGUAAUUAAUGUAGGAGCCACGUCUGGAUAUAUUAAGAUUUUGUUCCUAAAAGACUCUGAAAAGAAGACAGUAUUUUUCAACAUCUUGUGUUGAAUGGGUAUAGAGGAUGCUUCAAGAAGGGCUUUCAAGACCCAUCCCUUAAUGACAAGCCUCAAACCAGAUUUGGUCCAGUCUGCUUAGUAGCUGCAUUUGGAGGCAACGCCUCUGCCUUGCAGCCUGUGAGGUGGACACAGCACCUUGUGGGCAGGUGGUGGGGAGGCCUCAGUGAGAUGGCAGGUAGGGUACCUUGCAUCAGUCAGGGUUACAGGCAGUGCUUCGUGUGGGGCCGCCCCUCUCCCCCGGUUCCCUUCUACUCCUCCAAGCAGAUCUGCAAGAAAGUGGAUUGAAACUCAGGAUUUAGAAGGGAUUCUUCUGUAUGGAGGGUGAAGUGAAGAUUCUUCAUGACCUCUUUAGUUGUCAGCACGCGAGAUGUCAUUACAGUAUCAGUAACUAACUGCUCACAGGUGUGUGCACCACAGUGCAAAAGUUGCAUUCCCGGUUCUCAACUGAUUUAGCCUUUAUGGGAACUCUGUAAGCAGAACAGAUGGCGGGGGUAGGGGAGUCUCCUGAGGAUGAAGCGACUCAUUGAGAGUGACAAGGUGAGGUGGCAUCCACUGUGGAAAGGCCUGAGGCAGCAGCCACUUUGGGAAACUCAGGGGCAUAUGAGUCUAAAUCAAACUCUAUGCUCAGGGAGGAUGAGGAGCCUAUUAAGGUCAAGCACCUUAGGUUUCUCCCACUGUUUUUCAAAUAUGCUUUUUGAAUAACAUGAUUGCUUUGGCUCUUGGACCAUUACGAAUCUUACAGAGACAGUCUCAGAAGACUUGGGGACUAGCUGGUGGCCAGUUCCUCAGGUGACAUAAGGUCUGAUUCUAAAGCACUACUUUUUUUUUUUUAGGGCUGCACCUGAGGCAUAUGGACGUUCACAGCCACAGAAAAGCAAGGAUCCGAGCUGCAUCUGUGACCUACACCAAAGCUCAUGGCAAUGCCAGCUCUCUGACCCACUAAGCGAGGCCAGGGAUCAAACCUGCAUCCUUAUGGAUACUAGUCAGAUUCGUUUCCACUGAGCCAUGAUGGGAACUCCCUAAAGCACUAUUUCUUAACCUGGCUGCAUCUAAUAAAUAACUGGAAAGCUUAAAAAACUCUGUGACU
rnacentral:lncRNA from 1 species